rnacentral:rRNA from 1 species
CCUACGGGUGGCAGCAGUGGGGAAUAUUGCGCAAUGGGCGAAAGCCUGACGCAGCGACGCCGCGUGAGGGAUGAAGGUCUUCGGAUCGUAAACCUCUGUCAGCAGGGAAGCACGGUCACUGUGCUAAUCAGCAGUGAAUUGACGGUACCUGCAAAGGAAGCACCGGCUAACUCCGUGCCAGCAGCCGCGGUAAUACGGAGGGUGCGAGCGUUAAUCGGAAUUACUGGGCGUAAAGGGCUCGGAGGCGGGAUGUCAAGUCAAGGGGGAAAUCCCCGCGCUCAACGUGGGAACUGCCUUUGAAACUGGCAAACUGGAGUGUGUGAGAGGAUAGUGGAAUUCCAGGUGUAGGAGUGAAAUCCGUAGAUAUCUGGAGGAACAUCAGUGGCGAAGGCGACUAUCUGGCACAUAACUGACGCUGAGGAGCGAAAGCGUGGGUAGCAAACAGGAUUAGAUACCCGGGUAGUC